rnacentral:tRNA from 1 species
GGGGAUGUAGCUCAGUAUAGAGUGACUGCCUAGCACGCACAAGGUCCUGGGUUCCAUGCCCAGUAUCAUUA